rnacentral:lncRNA from 1 species
GAGGCUGCUGGAACCUGCGGUUGAGUGCGAAACCGGCGCCACCCCCUGCGUCUUGGUCUCGGGCUGGUGGCCAGCGGGGUCUGGGCUGUGGUUUUACCCAGCUCCUUUGCGAAGCUGCUGUCCUUUCCUCAACAUUACCACCCGGCUGGGCAGCCUACCCUCGCAGCAACAGGUGUGCACCUUCCAAGCUUGCAACAGACCACAUUCAGAAGCUUCUUGAUUUCCUGGUGUUCUGGGAAUAUCUGGAUCAGAGGUAACAUGGUUCACUAGGACUCCUCAGCUUCACGCAGUGUCCAUUUCACCUCCCCCGGCCUUCCAAUGUCUCUUCUUCAAGAUUUCUCCAAGCCACUCUCCCCUUCAUCUCCUCCACCCCCAGGCCCCAACUCCUGCCCCUCCCACCCUGGCCCCUGUUCUCCCUGCCCACCCCCUACCCCACUGGAGUGGCCUUUCAUCAAACCUAAACCAAAGAAACCAACAGACCUUGCUGUCACCACUACUCCGGGACCUGG